rnacentral:lncRNA from 1 species
UCUAUUUUUUAGUUUACACUGUAGUGGGGUAGUCUACAAACAACAAGUAAACACUGGAGGUGUAGAGUACUUGCCUAUCAUAUGGGAGGCCCUGAGUUUGAUGGCCAGCACUGCAAAACAGGACAACAAAUAAGAGGUUUACUAAAUAUCCUGCAAUGAUUAAGUACUAUAAAGAUAAGUGAAUAAGGUAAUGAUAUGGAAAAUUAGAAUGAGUGAUUUUUAGGUAGAGUGUUCAGGGAACAGGAAUCAAUUUGAGGAAGCUCCAAUUGACUAAAGAUGGGAUCAUUUGAGCAUUAACACUCUUAAUAACAAUAAUGAUAGAAUAUACUCAGUUCCAUAAUUUUGUGUGUGUCUGUGGUGCUGGGGAUCUAAACCAGGGCCUCAAGCAUACUAAGCAAGCACUGAGCUGUUAUCUCUAACCCCCUCCAUAAACUCCUAAUGAAUAUUAAUAGCAAAUUAUUGACCAUUGGAAUAUACUCAAGUGUUGUUAACUUAUUUUAAAAACAGAAACUCAAAGGAAAAGAAGCAUUUAUCCUCUUAAUAAAAUUAUUCAGUGACUAAAUGAAAAAGGAAUGAUAGAAUGUUACCAAAUUUGUUUAUGCUUAUAUUUAUUUUGUGCAUUGUCUGUUCACUUUCUUUAUUCUUUUUCUUUCUUUAAUGUUUCUUAUGUCAAUUUGUAGGGGCUUUUGUGAUGUGAACAUUUAUACCAGUGUGGCCUGUACCCAGAUACAGUAGGUUCCUGCUCAGGAAGUGUGAGGUGCCUGGGAAAUAAAAAGUCUGAAAUACAUCAGUAAAAAAUAAAGAAAGAAGCAAAAAUUAGAUUUAAAGAGAAGCGCCUGAUGAAUCUUCCAGUCCUGUUAAGAGCUAGAAAUGAACAACUGAAAAAAGGCCCCAAUUCUUUAUUUAAGGGGAAGUGCAUCAAAUUCAGGGGUAAGGUUCUGCGGGAGGAGUCUUAGUUUAGUUUGUGGGCCUCCACAAGGUCAUUCCAUCUCCCAGGCUGAGCUAGAACUUGAGUAGUAAGCUAAAACAGGGUGCCAACCUGAAGUAGGCAUUCUCAAACCAGGGGGUUCUGCCUGGGAGUUUUUACAACUGAGUUUCCUUUCCUAAUGGCUUAAGCAUCACUCAGUUUACCCAUGGGUCCCCGCAAACAUUAACAUUUGCUUGCUUUUCUUAUGAAUGUUUUAGCACUUUAUUUUGAUUUGGAUUAUGACUUUCCUUUUUAUAUUGCUCAUUUAACUUGCAAGUAAGUCCCACAAUUACCAUCUUAGGUUUAUCAUACCUUUUUGCUUUUACUGGUGCAUGAUAGCUGGGUUCAUUUUGACAUGAUCAUACAUGCAUGCAAUUUAAUCUACUCCAUUUUAGCCCCUAGUGUCUCCUCUUACCCUUUUCUCAUCCCUUCCCCUUUUCCCUUUUUCAUGCCUUGUUAACUGCCUACUCAUUUACUACUAUUAUAUAGCCAGUCAUGGUCAUCUAUCUAUCAUUUAUGUCUUGUCUUAUUGAGACCCUAAAUUGACUUUCUCCGCAAAAUUCUACAAAGUUGCAUUUUUUUUUGUUUUCUUAAGUAGGAAAAUAGAGAAACAGAUGUAUAGUUUUCUUAAUAGUAUUUUGUGCACCGUUCAUUUACCUUUCUCGCACCAUUCAUUUACCUUUCUCCACUCACAUUUUACCCAUACUUCUGAAAUUUUUAUAGCCCUUUCAGUCUUUUUAGUAUGUCCUUUUUCUUUUCUUUUUCUUUUUUUCUGUACUAGGGCUUGAACCCAGGACCUCAUGCAUGCUAUCACAGAGCUAUAUCCCUAGCCCUUUUUUCCCCACAUUUUUUUUUAUUGGUGCAUUAUAUUUGUACAUAUUGAUAGGAUCUGUUGUUACAUAUUUGUACACACACACACACACACACACACACAAUAUAACAAUAUCAUUUGGCCAAUAUCACUCCCCAGUACUUUCUGCCUCUCUCCCUACCUCCCACCCCUUGAUCUCUCUUCUUUAUUGAUCUCUCUUUGAUUUUUAGGAGAUCCACCCCAACCUUUAUUCCUUUUUCUUUCUAGCUACUGUAUAUACUUUUUAAAAAAAAAAUAUUUAAUUUUUAGUUGUAGUUGUACACAAUACCUUUAUUUCAUUUAUUUUUAUGUGGUUCUGAGGAUUGAACCCAGUGCUUUACAUGUGCCAGGCAAGCGCUCUAUGACUGAGCUACAACCCCAGACCAAAAGUGAAUUUUUUUUUUUUUUUUGGUACCAGGGAUUGAACUCAGGAGCACUCAACCACUGAGCCACAUCCCCAGCCCUAUUUUGUAUUUUAUUUAGAGACAGUUUCUCCCUGAGUUGCUUAGUGCCUCGCAAAGUUACUCCUGCCUCAGCCUCCCGAGCCACUGGGAUUACAGGGUGUGCUACUGUGCCUGGCCCAAAAGUGAAUUUUUAAAAAUAUAAAUAUACGUAAGAAAAAUACACAGAUCAUUAGUGAGCAGUUCAUUGAAUUUUAAGAACGUAAUCACACCCAUCUUGUCAACAGACUCAGAAAUAGAACUUUCCUGGAAUCCUAUAGCCUCCCCCCACUCCUUGCAGUCAUUCUUACACUCUACAGUUAACUACUCUUUGGACUUUAACACCAUAGAUUAGUUUGCUUACUUUUUACUUUAUAAAAAUGAAAUCAUACAGUAUAUUUUGUAUUAUGUCUGACUUUGUUUACUCACCAGGGUGUCUGGAUUUGUCCUCAUUGUUGCAUGAUUGUAGAGUGUUUUUCAUUUCUGCUGUACACUCUGGUGCUGUGCUGAUGUGCC